UACGUAGGGGGCAAGCGUUGUCCGGAAUUAUUGGGCGUAAAGAGCUCGUAGGCGGUCUGUUGCGUCGGCUGUGAAAACCCGGGGCUCAACUCCGGGCCUGCAGCCGAUACGGGCAGACUAGAGUUCGGCAGGGGAGACUGGAAUUCCUGGUGUAGCGGUGAAAUGCGCAGAUAUCAGGAGGAACACCGGUGGCGAAGGCGGGUCUCUGGGCCGAUACUGACGCUGAGGAGCGAAAGCGUGGGGAGCAAACAGG
rnacentral:rRNA from 1 species